GACGUAGGAGGCGAGCGUUGUCCGGAUUCAUUGGGCGUAAAGAGCGCGCAGGCGGCUUGGUAAGUCGGAUGUGAAAUCCCGAGGCUCAACCUCGGGUCUGCAUCCGAUACUGCCCGGCUAGAGGUAGGUAGGGGAGAUCGGAAUUCCUGGAUUGUAGCGGUGAAAUGACGCAGAUAUCAGGAGGAACACCGGUGGCGAAGGCGGAUCUCUGGGCCUUACCUGACGCUCAGGCGCGAAAGCUAGGGGAGCGAACUGG
rnacentral:rRNA from 1 species